CGCACACGAGCUUUUCAUUCCCCAUCGCGCGCUUGCCGCCUUUUUCACCCCCGCCUCCGUGCACCAAGCGCGCACACGCGCGUGACUGCCGCCUUUCACCUUCUGCCUGAAGCUAGCAAAAUAAAAAAUGUGACAAGUCCUGUUCUACAGGGGUGCUAGAGGUUGCUAAGCACCCUCAAACUAAAUCAAAGGCACUCCUCAGUUAAAGCUGCAUUAAUGGCUUUUUUUGCAUAUUUGUAAAUCUAUCCAGUGAGUUAUGGAUUGCGCUUUGGAGAUUGUUUUUUGCAGCAUUGAGUAAUGAAGUCAAUUACAGACAUAUCUGUUGAUUUCUUGAAUCAGAAGCUUUUAAGUUAGAAUCCAUAGUUUUUGUUUAGGUAGGCUAUUAGGUUCUGUACGAAUCAUCUAAUUAAAACAAAGUGUUGAUGCAAUGUAAUUAAGAGAUCCGUGUGUGUGUGUGUGUAGUUAGAGCACCUUCGUUCAUUUAAGAAGCACCCUCAGUGAUUUGAUUCUGGAGCUGGUCCUCCCUCUCUCACUCUCUUGCUCUCUGUAGUGUAGCUUUGUAAAAUGUGUUUUAUUCUAGAAAUUUGGGUUCAUCUUAAAUGAACCUCUGUAUGACUAUCUACAUUUGGACAGUUCUUGUAAAUUACCAGAUUACAGAAAGAUACACAAAUGAUUCCCAAAUAAGAUUCAAUAGUCCCUUCGGCACUCAAGGUCAUUCAAGAACUAUUUUAGUUCAAGGUCACUUGAAAAUUAUUGAAAUAUUUCAAAUGUACAUAAGCAUAUCGCAAUGACAUGCAAUUCAUGAUAAUGAAAAUUAUAAUAAUUAUAACUCAGAUAAACCAUAGGCUAUAUCGUCAUAGCAGUGUGUUUAUUAGAUGGUAUUCAUUCAUAUUCAUUGCAUGGUGUCCGUCUCUCCUCAGAGUCCUGUACACAAGACAAAUGUACAGAAUACAGCUAUUUAUCUAAACUAACACAUUUUUGACACAACCUGCAAAUUACCAUAAUAGAUAACUAGGUGUAACGUGUCUAUAGUACAGUGUACAGAGGUCACAACUAUCGCACAAAUACGAUAAUUAUUGUGUGUCUGGCAGCACUGCCAUAACUGCAUUACCUUUCUUCUGCUGGACAUAUUUGGAGUUUCAGCGUAAGAGUGCCCUCUGGCCUUCUGAUGGAGCAGUAUUUACUACUGGUCAUAGAACCGUGCUUCACGGACAAGCUGUGCUUGACUGAAUAACCUUUGUAGCUUGUGUAUGUAUAUUAAUUAAUGUGAAGACUAUGCAAGAACUUUUAGUUUUACAUUAAAUCAUCCAGUUUCUGUAUUGUUUCUUACUUGAACUGUACUGUUAAAUAUAUCAAAUGUAAGCCUGCCUAAAAGUCAAAGCAAUUUUUUUAUGUAAUGCUAAAACUGGUCACAUUCAGAAAUUGUAAUAAGGGUUUCUUUUCCAAGAUAUAAUGUCAAGCAUAUACAUUGGUUAUAUAAUUUUUCUUUUUUUUAAAUAUUUUUAAAUACAAUUUAUAUUGUUUUACACCCUUAAUGCAUUAUUUAAUCAAACUCUAAAAAACGCUGGGUUGUUUUUUCAACCCUCAUAGAGCGCCCUCUCAUGGCUGGAGACGGUAAUGUUUUCUCUUGGUUCUAAAUAAAUGCGACUUAUAGUCCAGUGCGAUUUAUAUAUGUUUUUUUCCUCAUCAUGACGUAUUUUUGGACUGAUGCAACUUAUACUCAGGUGCGACUUAUAGUCCGAAAAAUACGGUACAUAGGAGGUGAGCAUCAUUCUUUUGAGAAUUAUGUAAUGUUUCUGUUGUCUCCUGCCUGUUUUCUUCACAUUUUGAUGCAACAGCAGUGUGAUUACGUGCUCAUUUCAUUAAACCGCUGAUGUCUGUGUUUUUCAUUUUAGAACUCAAAACAACUUUGGAGUUGUCUGAUUUGGAGAGUCAUCAUUCUUGGUCUUCCCUCUUCAAGGAAUAGUUCAUGCAAAAAAAUAAUUGACUUGCCUUCAUGUCAUUCCAAACCUGUAAGGCUUUUGUCUGUCUUUACAACACAAAUGAAUAUAUUUUUAAUUUUCUCAUAAUUUCUAGUUAAUCCAUUGAGAGUCUAGAUAAUCUGUAUUUUCAAGCCUCAUAAAUACAGAGUUAUUGUAGAAGUAAUCCAUUGCUAUAUUUAUAUACUGUAUGAUUUAUUCUGAAAUUAUAUGAUAGCGCACAUGUAUGUUCAAAAGACAAUACUGGUUUCCCAGACUAGCAAUGGAGGAAAAAAAUUAAGAGAAUAUUAAAUAUAUUUAUUUGUGUUCCAAAAAUUUGAGUUUUUAUGGGACUGGAACAACAUGGGGGAGAGUAAAUUAUGACCAAUUUCUUUUUUUGGUGAACUAACCCUUUGAAGAGCAACCGUCCCCGUACAUGAAAAUUUGUGAGGCCACUGAUGAAGAGCAGGCGGUGACUUGGAGGAAUGCUGGUCAAAGAAGAAAAUGUCCUUUCCCCUAAACUGAUGCAACAGUGGGUUUUAAAGGAGGAUGCUGCCCUGGAUGAUGGAAAAGAUCACAUACUGUUCUGAUGGGGCUUCUUCAUGGCUACAUCAGUUAUGCUGAAAAGAUCAUGAAAAUUGACAGUGAUGCAUGAUAUGUAUUCAUGAACUAUGAAACAAACUGUAAGUGUAUAACUUAUAUAUAAAAAAAAAAUGUUAAAUGCUUGUUCUGUGUUUAGUAGAAAUGGAGUUUACACUGUCAUUUAUACACAUGCUCACAUUCUUUCACACAGACAUGCAUCUGUCAAAUGUUAUAAUAUCAGUGUUAAUGUUGUGGUUUAUUUGUAACUGUCAAACCAGAAUAGUUGGUAAAGAACUUAUCUAAUUAUUGUAUAAAAGGGUUUUUGUAUAUUUUAUAUAAUGUAAAAACAUUACAACAUUUUUUUUUUUAUCUUAAGUUAUA